UACGUAGGGGGCGAGCGUUGUCCGGAUUUAUUGGGCGUAAAGGGCUCGUAGGUGGCUUGGCAAGUCGGACGUGAAAGUCCAGGGCUCAACCCUGGGAUGCCGUUCGAUACUGCUUUGCUAGAGGCCGGUAGGGGGAUCUGGAAUUCCUGGUGUAGCGGUGUAAUGCGCAGAUAUCAGGAGGAACACCGGUGGCGAAGGCGGGAUCCUGGGCCGGACCUGACGCUGAUGAGCGAAAGCUGGGGGAGCAAACAG
rnacentral:rRNA from 1 species